AGAUGGCGACCGGCGCACGGGUGAGUAACACGUAUCCAACCUGCCGAUAACUCGGGGAUAGCCUUUCGAAAGAAAGAUUAAUAUCCGAUAGUAUAUUUUCUCCGCAUGGCGAGAAUAUUAAAGAAUUUCGGUUAUCGAUGGGGAUGCGUUCCAUUAGUUUGUUGGCGGGGUAACGGCCCACCAAGACUACGAUGGAUAGGGGUUCUGAGAGGAAGGUCCCCCACAUUGGAACUGAGACACGGUCCAA
rnacentral:rRNA from 1 species